UACGUAGGGGGCAAGCGUUGUCCGGAAUUAUUGGGCGUAAAGAGCGCGUAGGCGGUCCGAUAAGUCGGCUGUGAAAGUCAGGGGCUCAACCCUUGGAAGCCGGCCGAUACUGUCGGACUAGAGUCCGGAAGAGGCGAGUGGAAUUCCCGGUGUAGCGGUGAAAUGCGCAGAUAUCGGGAGGAACACUAAUGGCGAAGGCAGCUCUCUAGUACGGUACUGACGCUGAGACGCGAAAGCGUGGGGAGCGAACAGG
rnacentral:rRNA from 1 species